rnacentral:rRNA from 1 species
CCUACGGGAGGCAGCAGUGAGGAAUAUUGGUCAAUGGACGUGAGUCUGAACCAGCCAAGUAGCGUGAAGGAUGACUGCCCUAUGGGUUGUAAACUUCUUUUAUAUGGGAAUAAAACGUUCCACGUGUGGGCUUUUGUAUGUUCCCUGUGAAUAAGGAUCGGCUAACUCCGUGCCCGCAGCCGCGGUAAUACGGGGGAUACGGGCGUUAUCCGGAUUUAUUGGGGUUAAAGGGGGCGUAGGUGGAUUGUUAAGUCAGUUGUGAAAGUUUGCGGCUCAACCGUAAAAUUGCAGUUGAAACUGGCAGUCUUGAGUACAGUAGAGGUGGGCGGAAUUCGUGGUGUAGCGGUGAAAUGCUUAGAUAUCACGAAGAACUCCGAUUGCGAAGGCAGUACACUGGACUGCAACUGACACUGAGGCUCGAAAGUGUGGGUAUCAAACAGGAUUAGAUACCCGGGUAGUC